GGAGUCUAAAAUGAAAUAAAUAAUUAAAAUACUCAAGCGUGGAGAGCAUUGUAUAGAAUUGUUACUGACCAAGUUGAUACCGCGCUAAAAAAAGCCAUUGAAGAAGCCGCCAGGGAAACCAGGCCCNNNNNNNNNNCAGGUGGCCUCAUUUAGCAGGCUACUAGCACUGUGGUGCCACUGGAAAGAAUGCAAAUUCCAGAAUUUUGCAGGAGACGAGGCAAAGGGAGGCAACAGAU
rnacentral:misc_RNA from 1 species